rnacentral:rRNA from 1 species
AGAGAAGCUUGCUUCUCUUGAGAGCGGCGGACGGGUGAGUAAUGCCUAGGAAUCUGCCUGGUAGUGGGGGAUAACGCUCGGAAACGGACGCUAAUACCGCAUACGUCCUACGGGAGAAAGCAGGGGACCUUCGGGCCUUGCGCUAUCAGAUGAGCCUAGGUCGGAUUAGCUAGUUGGUGGGGUAAUGGCUCACCAAGGCGACGAUCCGUAACUGGUCUGAGAGGAUGAUCAGUCACACUGGAACUGAGACACGGUCCAGACUCCUACGGGAGGCAGCAGUGGGGAAUAUUGGACAAUGGGCGAAAGCCUGAUCCAGCCAUGCCGCGUGUGUGAAGAAGGUCUUCGGAUUGUAAAGCACUUUAAGUUGGGAGGAAGGGCAGUAACCUAAUACGUUGCUGUCUUGACGUUACCGACAGAAUAAGCACCGGCUAACUCUGUGCCAGCAGCCGCGGUAAUACAGAGGGUGCAAGCGUUAAUCGGAAUUACUGGGCGUAAAGCGCGCGUAGGUGGUUUGUUAAGUUGGAUGUGAAAUCCCCGGGCUCAACCUGGGAACUGCAUUCAAAACUGACA